rnacentral:rRNA from 1 species
UACGAACUGCGCAAACGUUAUUCGGAAUCACUGGGCUUACAGGGUGCGUAGGCGGCCAAUCAGGUCCGAUGUGAAAUCCCACAGCUCAACUGUGGAACGGCAUUGGAAACCGAUCGGCUCGAGUGAGCUAGAGGGACACGGAACUUCCGGUGGAGCGGUGAAAUGUGUUGAGAUCGGAAGGAACACCAGAGGCGAAAGCGGUGUCCUGGAGCUUGUCUGACGCUGAGGCACGAAAGCCAGGGGAGCGAACGGG